AUUGAACGCUGGCGGCAGGCCUAACACAUGCAAGUCGAGCGGAGCGGCGGACGGGUGAGUAAGGCCUAGGAAUCUGCCAGGUAGUGGGGGAUAACGUCAGGAAACGGGCGCUAAUACCGCAUACUAUCAGAAGAGCCUAGGUCGGAUUAGCUAGUUGGUGGGGUAAAGGCCUACCAAGGCGAAGAUCCGUAACUGGUCUGGGAGGAUGAUCAGGCACACUGGAACUGAGACACGGUCCAGACUCCUACGGGAGGCAGCAGUGGGGAAUAUUGCACAAUGGGCGAAAGCCUGAUCCAGCCAUGCCUCGUGUGUGAAGAAGGUCUUCGGAUUGUAAAGCACUUUUAGUUGGGAGGCGUUACCAACAGAAUAAGCACCGGCUAACUUCGUGCCAGCAGCCGCGGUAAUUC
rnacentral:rRNA from 1 species